GGGCAGGGGCAGGGGGCG
rnacentral:miRNA from 1 species